rnacentral:lncRNA from 1 species
UUUCCGAAAGACCCCCGGCUCAAGUCACGAGAUAUCACACAAACACAUAGUACAGCACAGAAGCAGAUGACAUAACAUAGAUACGGCACCCAUAAGGAAUAUAAAACAGAGUAAAGCAGGAAUGCAGGAAUAUAAAGCAGAGGAAAGCACACAGAUUCGUAACAAACAUAGAACACGGAACAGACCUUCCCCUAAUCCUCUGCCGUAAUUCUCAUCUUCCAUACCUUCCUAUCUAGGGUCAUGUCCUCGGUGAGCUGUAACUGUUCCAUGUCCCGCCUAAUCACCUCACCCCAGUACUUCUUCGGUCUACCCCUACCCCGUCUAAAACCAUCCAAUGCUAGCCUCUCACACCUACGGACCGGGGCAUCCAUGCCCCUCCUCUUCACGUGUCCGAACCAUCUCAAUCGUGCUUCCCGCAUCUUACACUCCACUGAAGUCACACCAACCUUCUCCCGGAUAGUCUCAUUCCGAACUCUAUCCCCUCGGGUCAGUCCACACAUCCAGAC